UUCACCUAUCAGCACGGGCUGAUAGAUAUUGGGCUCUAGGUAUAUAAUGCCAAAUGUCCAGGCUGUAUACCUGUGGUGUCUCGGGCCCAGUGGGGACCCACCGAAGCUGAGUUGGCCCUUUGCUGGAUCUUAGCAUAUCUUGACAUGAGGGGGUGGGCUGAAGGGACUGGGGACAUUUUUCCAGCCCUGGAGGAGAGGGAUUCUUUAGCAAAGCAACUCCAGCAACUGGAGAAGUAGGGCUUUGGACAUACAUUCUAGGGCUCUCCUUGCCUUCCUUCUCCUCCCCAAGUUGCACUAGGG
rnacentral:lncRNA from 1 species